AUGAACGCUGGCGGCGUGCCUAAUACAUGCAAGUCGAGCGAACGGACGAGAAGCUUGCUUCUCUGAUGUUAGCGGCGGACGGGUGAGUAACACGUGGAUAACCUACCUAUAAGACUGGGAUAACUUCGGGAAACCGGAGCUAAUACCGGAUAAUAUUUUGAACCGCAUGGUUCAAAAGUGAAAGACGGUCUUGCUGUCACUUAUAGAUGGAUCCGCGCUGCAUUAGCUAGUUGGUAAGGUAACGGCUUACCAAGGCAACGAUGCAUAGCCGACCUGAGAGGGUGAUCGGCCACACUGGAACUGAGACACGGUCCAGACUCCUACGGGAGGCAGCAGUAGGGAAUCUUCCGCAAUGGGCGAAAGCCUGACGGGGCAACGCCGCGUGAGUGAUGAAGGUCUUCGGAUCGUAAAACUCUGUUAUUAGGGAAGAACAUAUGUGUAAGUAACUGUGCACAUCUUGACGGUACCUAAUCAGAAAGCCACGGCUAACUAC
rnacentral:rRNA from 1 species